rnacentral:rRNA from 1 species
CCUACGGGUGGCAGCAGUGAGGAAUAUUGGUCAAUGGACGAGAGUCUGAACCAGCCAAGUAGCGUGAAGGAUGACUGCCCUAUGGGUUGUAAACUUCUUUUAUAUGGGAAUAAAACGUUCAACGUGUGGGAUUUUGUAUGUACCAUAUGAAUAAGGAUCGGCUAACUCCGUGCCAGCAGCCGCGGUAAUACGGAGGAUCCGAGCGUUAUCCGGAUUUAUUGGGUUUAAAGGGAGCGUAGGUGGAUUGUUAAGUCAGUUGUGAAAGUUUGCGGCUCAACCGUAAAAUUGCAGUUGAAACUGGCAGUCUUGAGUACAGUAGAGGUGGGCGGAAUUCGUGGUGUAGCGGUGAAAUGCUUAGAUAUCACGAAGAACUCCGAUUGCGAAGGCAGUUCACUGGACUGCAACUGACACUGAGGCUCGAAAGUGUGGGUAUCAAACAGGAUUAGAUACCCCUGUAGUC